GACGAACGCUGGCGGCGUGCUUAACACAUGCAAGUCGAACGGGCCUUGUCCCCUUUUUUUUUGGGGGUGGGGUUAGUGGCGAACGGGUGAGUAACACGUGAGUAACCUGCCCCUCACUUCUGGAUAACCGCUUGAAAGGGUGGCUAAUACGGGGUGUUCUGGCCUGCUCGCAUGGGUGGGUUUGGAAAGAUUCGACCGGUUUUGGUUGUUUUGGUGGGGGAUGGGCUCGCGGCCUAUCAGCUUGUUGGUGGGGUGAUGGCCUGCCAAGGCUUUGACGGGUAGCCGGCCUGAGAGGGUGGGCGGUCACACUGGGGCUGAGACACGGCCCAGACUCCUACGGGAGGCAGCAGUGGGGAAUAUUGCACAAUGGGCGCAAGCCUGAUGCAGCGACGCCGCGUGAGGGAUGGAGGCCUUCGGGUUGUGAACCUCUUUCGCCAGUGAAGAAGGUCCUGCUCUUUGUGGUGGGGUUGACGGUAGCUGGGUUAAUGAAGCGCCGGCUAACUACGUG
rnacentral:rRNA from 1 species